rnacentral:lncRNA from 1 species
GGGGGAAUCUGGGUCCGGUCUCCACUUGACAAGCUCAAGGGACUUAACUGGACUGGGUAGCUCUCUAAUCUUUCCACUGGCCAGCCACACCCGGCUCUUACAUAUUCCCGAGGAGGGUCUGGCCUCUUCAAGGGCUUCUUACAGACACUGUGAGGCCCAGCUUCUUGGGAGACCCCCAGGCCCUGGCACAGAGUAUGGUCUGAAGGCAUCUUUUGCUUCCUGCAGCAAGAACAGACCUGCCCAAGCGUCUCUGCUCGUCCCUGUCUGCAUAAAAAGGGCAGGUUCUCCCAGAAGGUUCCAGGCUCCAUUGCCUAUGUGCAGAAAUUGUUAAAAACAAUUAAGAGGCAAAGGAGGGGAGAAGAGGGAAUGAGCUGAAUCCAGCAAAGCUCAGCCAAAUGUUUUGCUCCUGUUUCAACCCUGGGCAGAGCCACAAGAGAGAA